rnacentral:rRNA from 1 species
UCGGGAAUAUUGCGCAAUGGAGGAAACUCUGACGCAGUGACGCCGCGUGCAGGAAGAAGGUUUUCGGAUUGUAAACUGCUUUAGACAGGGAAGAAACUAGACAGUACCUGUAAAAUAAGCUCCGGCUAACUACGUGCCAGCAGCCGCGGUAAUACGUAGGGAGCAAGCGUUAUCCGGAUUUAUUGGGUGUAAAGGGUGCGUAGACGGGAAGACAAGUUGGUUGUGAAAUCCCUCGGCUUAACCGAGGAACUGCAACCAAAACUAUCUUUCUUGAGUGUUGGAGAGGAAAGUGGAAUUCCUAGUGUAGCGGUGAAAUGCGUAGAUAUUAGGAGGAACACCAGUGGCGAAGGCGACUUUCUGGACAAUAACUGACGUUGAUGCACGAAAGUGUGGGGAGCAAACAGGAUUAGAUACCC